rfam:Streptacidiphilus jiangxiensis strain CGMCC 4.1857 genome assembly, contig: Ga0104467_103
GGAGUCUUGCCCGAGCGGCCUAAGGGAACGGUCUUGAAAACCGUCGUGGCUUCACCGCCACCGUGGGUUCAAAUCCCACAGACUCCG